AACCAAAACCAAACAAAAAAAAAAAAAACCCAAAAAUCAAAACCCACAAAAAAACCCAAAACAAACAAACAAACAAAAAAUCCCAAAACUAAAAAAUCCCACUCAAAACCAAACUAUGCCAAAAACUUGCACUGAAGUCAAGAUUUAAUAUAUCGAUAAAUUUCACUCACUUAUAAUUUGUGAUUUGAAGAACCAGCAUCAUCACUACUAAAUUGUGAUGUUAUGUGCUUAAUGCUGUCAAGAAGAAUGUUCCAGCAAAAUUGUUUUGUUAAAUUCUCAGGUACCUUGUUCAUCAUGUUGGAGUAGCAAAUUCUUAACAGUGGUUAAUUGUUUGCUAUUUUUGUGGAAGACUUUCCUUGACUUCUUGAGGCCUUUUUGCCUUGCCUGUUAGGAAAUCUAGGAUCUGCAAUUCUGUAAAAAGUACAUUGUGCAUGGGAUGAUUCUUUUCCCCCUCCUCCAAAAUGGGAUCCCUGUUGCUGUCUUGACAGAUCUUUGUAAGUGACUGGGGAGAGAGCUGCUGGCAUGGAAGUGAGCUAGGUUUGUCCGUGGGAACUGCGAGUAAGGGUUCAGAUUGCUAUCACAAUGGGAAAACAAGCAUGUUUCAAGGUGUAGCUUUCCAUCAGAACAGCAGGCUGAAUUGACUUGCUCUAUGGCUGCAGAGUCACUGCUUGGAGGAGAGAAGGUGAGAAUUUCAAAUUGUGGUGUGGUGAUAUAAUAUGGACAUGGCAUCUCAGUCACAGCCUGUGAUCAGACUGAGUUAGAUAAAUUGUAAAACUACUUCCUCAGACACACAAAAGUAAGUUGCCAGAAAACCUAGCCAAAAAAUCCUUAAGAUUCUAAAGUUUUGCAGUUUUGCCUGCUGCUUUGUGCUGCAGUGAGUUCUUGUGCCAAGAACUGAACUGACUGAAAUUUAACUACUUUAUCUUUGUUUUAAUUCUUCCUUUUCUGUUAAAAAUUUAUAAAUUUUAAAAUUUAUUUUCUUUUUUUUUUAGUCUAGAUUUGUUCCCUGAGCUGUCUUUUCCUGCCUUGCCUAAGUCACCACUUUAUUAUGCCCUGUGUCAUUCAGUUCUAGACCCAAAUUUCAAUUCUUCUGUCUGAAAGUGUAUUUUUUCUUCUGAGGUCUUACUUCCUAUGCUUUUCUUGUCCAACGACUUUCUCAUCCCAGUCUGCUCUGAAUCCAUAUUCAGCAAGAGUUUCUUCAUACUUUUUCAGCUGUGAAUUUCCAAGCCAAAGCUCACAUCUGGCUGCAGAUCAUCAGCACUCCCUUUUCUAGUUUGCUGUAGCCUCCCUGGUUCUGUCGGUUGUUGGCAUUCACUGCCACAUGCCUUUGCUGCUGGCUGAUUCCAUUGCUUCCUCUACUUGCUCCUAUGGGGUGAGGAGGAAUGCCUUGCCUUUAACAUGAAGGAAAUUUUAAAAGAUGCAUCAGACAGUGACUGCAAGGAAGCCAACCAGUCAGAAGGUGGUGGAAAGCAGGCAAUCCUGUUCUAAACACACUGCAGUUCAUCAUGCAUUUCUUUGGCAGCAGUGCAGGCUCAAACAGCUUGCUCCCUUUUUCAGCUCCCUCUGUUUUGCUGGCAUAGCUGUUUUUGUGGCCAUGGUGAGCCACUCUGGGGAACACAUCCUCCUGGAAAGAAGUGUUUUUCUCUAGAUUAUUUUUCAUCUGGUCCAGUACACGUUGUCUCUGUAAGAUUUAUGCUGGUCUCACAAUGAGGAAGGUAUGAGAGUGGGAAUGUGUAGCAGGCUGCCUAAGUUGGCACCGCUGCUAGAUACUUGAGUGUGCUCUUUGACAUUACAGUUAAGUUGAUCUUUCAGUGUGCUGCUCUUGCAAAGGCAGGUCAAACCUCUGCACAGCCUUGCACUCCCGCUUCUUCCUUUGCAUCAGAGCUGGUGAUCGUGCAGCCACAGGGCACGGCCAGCGAGCCGACUGAUCUGGGAAAAAAUGGCUUCUGAUGUUUCGCAGAGUGAAUUGUCUGCUGCUUCGGUGACCCGAGUCACCCCGUGGGUGCACAAUCAUUAGAUCAGACAAAAGGAAGGCAGCAGGAACCAACAGCUUGAUAGCAGUAGGCUGAAUUCUUCUUUCAAUUAUGAUGUUGAACUCUGUCAUGACCAAGGCCUAAAAUACAUUAGUGUACUCACUGACAUGUGACACCCGAACAUGACAUUUCCUUUGCUUUUGUUCUUUGAACUUCAGCAAAAACUGUUAUUUCUUCAGUAGCUAUCAUCUUCAGUCUCACAAACUAGAUCAUUAAUUUAACACUCUGAGAGGUAUGAGAGAAUUAGGUGUCUAUAAAGAACUUCACCAGUUUGAGGCUUAACAUCUUCUGAAAUUAGAAGGAUGUUGUCCUCAUUCAUGCUUUGAACUAAAGUAAGAACUCUAGAAAUUGGUGGAGAGUUCAUUUUUUUUUCCAGCAAGGAUUGUUUGUUCUAAAUAUAAUUGCUAAUCUCAAAACUAGCUUUGGUAUUAUCAGUUCUCUGUGUACCCAAAGUUCCAUGGGCUUGAAAGCCACAAAGUUCCUCCAAAUACAUAUUGAAGAAUGAAAAAUAUUUCUUAAAAAAUAGCUGGAAUGUUGAACUGCAUUUCUUAGCUUGCUAUUUGUGGCUUUGGGAAAUUAAUGUUUAUUGAUGAUUUUCCAAGACCUCUGAAAAACUUUUUAUCACUGCUGGAUGGAGUGAAGCAAAUGUUAAUAUUUUAUGAAGGAAAUAUUUAGGGCUUGAGAAAUACCAUAAUUGAUGAGUGGUUGUUAAAAUCAUAUGCAAGGCUGUGUUUGUCUACAGCACAAAUGAUGCAGUUGAUUGCUUUGCACUAGAUGUGCAUCUUUUCUCCCUCAAGUCCUCACAUCUCUAUACAGCUGUUCAUGCCUUUUGUCUGAUAACAUUUCUUGCUGGCCCAAGCAUAUUUUGACUCUCGUACUGCUGGAUUUGCUGGAGGUGGUAGCAGAGAGAGUGAAGAUUCAAAGAUAUCCCAUUACUGCAGUGCUAUCGGCACAGCACACAUACGGAUUUGGUUCUUUAGCUCAGAUAAAGUUGUGCUCAUCUGUGUUUUACCACUGUCUUUAUUUCCAUGUGUUGCAGUCUUUGCCUUUUAAUACAGGCUGUGCAGUGCAGUGACUUGUGAUCAUGGCACAAUGGACAAUUUACAGCUCCAAAUCACCAGCUCCAAUUCAGAAUGAAUUUGGUUACUUUUUGACUGCUUUUGCCCCUCUGCCCAUCCCUGCUCCCAAUUACUGUGCAAGCGAAGGAAGCUGAUGACGGAUUCAUUUUGCAGAAGUCAAAUGCAUGUGGAAUGUGUGUGUUAAAAUAAAACUUCAUAAUCUAAGGUGGCCUCUUUUUAGUGGUCUGCAUAGUUUAGUUCAGUUUCUUAACUUAAGGUGGUUCCUGAGGAAGAAGUCCUCAAGACUGUUCUUCUUCCAGGAUACAGUCCUUGUCAUGUAUGUCUCACUGCUGACUCUAUUUUAUAUUCUUUAUUGACAGUGUCAUCAUGCUGGCUCUCAAUUAACUGGAGAAAUAAUUCUGCCAACAGUUGUGUGCCUAAGUUAAGCUGACUGACAGGAAAUGAAAUAAUUUUUUAAUACACCUUUGUAGGUCUUCCUGUUGAUGACUUUGAUAUCUAAAGAUAUCUCUCAUUCUGAUUGUUAUAACUUCUCAAGCUAAUGCAGCGCCUCUGCUUCCACCUGCUGUAAACUUCACCUCUCCUGGGUUAUUCUUUUAGUUUGUAAUGACCUGGGGGAUAGAGUUGCUUUUGGCAAUGUCAUGGCAUUCUCUUUCAGUCUUCUCACUCAUUUGAAAGAUUUGUCCACUUAAAGCCACUUUGCCCCAUGAUUGCCUCUUGGCUGACUGAUCUCAGCUGGCAUGAUAAUUUAACAGAAGGCUGCUCAUAAGUUUAAAAUAAAAAAAUGCCCUGUCUACUCAAAAUAGCCCAGCUGCACACACAUGCUGUUGCUGUUAGGUGCUGGAGGUUGCUUAGCAAUUCUAAAAUCAGUAGGAAAUUGCUAUUGCCCUGGCAACUUGGUCCCAUAAUGCAAACCAGGGAAAGCUGUUUAGAGAGGCGUCCUUUCUUGAUUUGGGAAUUGCAUGUGUUUUGUGUUCUUUUCCCUGUGCUUCUCUGAUUUUUACUCACUUAUUUUAAAAUUUCUCGUAUGUUUUAGUUUGAGGUUAAAAUUCCUCUAUGUUUUACUCUGGUUAUUGAGUUUUCAUGUACGGGAAGGGUGAUAGUCCUUGGUUCAUUUAAAUACGGACUGUCAAGAUCUUAAUUAUACCAUGAGUAUGUGAGUAUUUCCAAAAUCAUGCAGGGGCAAUAGCAUUCUCUCAGGAGCCAGGAGUUUUUAAGUUGUGUUGCUAUAAAACACAAUCCACUGUCACAACAAUACAAGCACAAACCAUGACACCUGGGAGGAAACAGAUCUGCUCAAGAGAAACAGUGGACAUUGCUUGUAAAUAACUAAUCUUUGUCCAUUUCUAACUUCUGAAGGCAUUUAAACACCUCAUUUUCAGAUAGACAAACAAGAUAGUCAGUUUUGCGCAAGGUAUAAGAUUAAGAACCACAGACAUAAAGAAUGGUCUGAAAAAUAUUGCCUUUAUCAAACCUGCAAGCUACUAAGGCUAUACUGCUCUGAAGCUUGUUUUACAUGGUAGCUGUUUUAGUGCAUCCUCUUGCCAUUGCAGCACCAUUCACAGUAAACACACAGGAAACCUGAUUAGCUUAGUCAUUGGUAAAAACAGUGUUCUGCUUUACAUUUACCACGUGACAAAAUUACUUAGAGAAAUUUUUGUUAAAGCUGCUCAUCCAGGAUCACUGAAGGAUAGCUCAAGGCCCGUGAGGUGAGAGGAAAACAAAAUAGACACAUACAGUAUGGAAACCUCUCUGACCAACAGUAAAUUAGUGAAAGGUAAACUGGGAGUGGGAGAUGGGAUUAGGAUUACUUUUCUGUCAUUUUAGCUCCAUUAACCAUUCCAUCCUAAGGGCAGACAAGCACCAGUGUUGGCACAGGGGAGCAACAAAGGCAUGCAUCCAAGACGUCCCCUUUUGGCAAGAGCCAGCUUAGACCAACUUAGCUGUAUCAGACAACCACAUCCUCUGCUAGACACUAAACUGUCACUGCCAACAAAAGGAGCAGUCCAGCCUGCUCAUUCCUCACCUCCUGUCAGCCAGCACAGGCUGAAACAGAUCGAGAAACUGCUCUGUGUUGAAUUCAACCUGGUCAUACACAUACACUACUAGUUUUAAUCUGCAUCUGUUGCUGCUGAUCUGGCUUGCCAGCCAGCCACACAAAAACUUGGUUAUCCUGAGGGAGAAUAAGGCACAAGGAAGUAAAAAAGAAAUCAGGAUGGCUACUUUUGGUAGCAGUCAUCUUAAGGCAUUAUUAUAUGAUUUAAUCUGUCCAACAUCCAUGUUGGAUAUGGACACGUGCACUAUGGUGACACAGCUAUGUGUGUAGUUGGCAAUGGAGUGGGGAACUGAUUUUAUUGAAUGCCCAGGAAAUAAAGUCUAGUUUUCACCUAAAUAGAUUCCCCAGUCAAAGAAGGGGCAGUGUAGGGACAGAAGUGAGCAGCUGGACAGUGGAGGACUUAAAGGUUGCUUAAGCUGAUGUUGCUGCUGUAGAACAUCUGUAGUAUCACAGCCACUCUUGUCCCAGAAGCAGCUGGCCUAAAAGUAGAAAAAUGCCAUGAUACAAAGCUUUUGCCUGGUAAGGCAACAGAUACAAAUCCUUGAGGGUACUUAAUCUGAAACCCUUAUAGAGGAUAAGAAAUACUAGCUCUUAAUACUGUCCAUCAGCUUCUGGAUGACUCACUUAAAGAUCAUGGCAUGGCACGUUUCUUUAUGGGAAAAUUUCUAGUCUGGUUGGAAAUGACAGGAAAACAAACAUCGUAAAAAUUUAAUUAGGUUCUAGAUAUUAAUGUGUGUAACUCUCUGAUUGAUCAUUCUACAAUGACAGUUACUGAGUGGUAUAACUGUCUGGGAAGUCUAGAAACAGACUUAUGUUGGUUUGCAGAAAAGGAUUCCAUGUCUUUCACAGGACUUCCAAAUACUGUAGCAUGAAUGUUUAUAAAUCCUCAAAGCAUCUUUCAAAUCCCUCUCUGCCCUCGUCAGACUUUUAAUUGAACAUACUUAAAUCAAACUCAUCCAAUUAUAGCUUUUAUUGUAGUCUUGAGGCCCGGAUGCCUUUUUUCUUUUUUUAAUUGUGGGGAUGUGUUCCAUACCAAAACUUGGCUCUGAUCUGAGAAAGAGCUCUCUUGGAAGAGGCUGGAUGUUUGCAUGUACUGAUGGUAUCAGCUGGUUCUGUCCUUGUGAUGCCUGGCACAAACGCUGGUGAUGCUGCACGGGGAACAGCAUCAGGGACCCAACUUAGCUGGAGUGUGAACCAGAAGACUGGCUUUUACACCUGGUUUAUUGUGGGUCAUUGCAGAGUCUUGUGCUGGCCUCAAGUGGGAGGUGAUGUGGAGGAAGGAGGAGGCAGGCUUUCCAAAUGUAUUUUAAUUGUUCAUAGUGGUUCAUCCCAGUUUUGUUUCCUUUGAGCUGCAGCUCUACUUGGACUAACAGAAUUGUUGUCCAAAUUGUUGAUUUUUUAAAAUUUUUUUAAAAAAUUUUGUGAUGGUGUUCCACUACUGUACCAUUGUGGUUCAGCUGUGCCUUGUAUAGAGGAAUUGAUCCAGAUGAAAAAUUCCAUCACCUGAAUCAGCUUUCUGAUACAAUUCACAGUAUGGCUCUACAAGCAGCACUUCCAGCGCAAAUCAGGACAUAGUGGCAGAGCAAGACUGAGUGUCAAGCCACGGUUUGCUUAAGCUGCGUUCCUUUGAUGUGGGACAAACACUGACUGACAUGCCAACUAGGAUUAAGACACCUUCCAUCUGUGUCUUUUUCUGCAUGAGUUAGGAAAUGUGCAGGUCCAGGUGCAAUUCUAGAUAGUCCAGCUGCUGUGAUGAAGUUUCAUUGGACAAUUUAAUGGAGAAACUCUGGUUUAUAAUCUCAGUGCCGAUUAACACCCUUUGGUGUGGUGUUGCUCAAGGUCACAUAGCAAAAGGGUGUGUGAGCGUGGGUCUUUUGCUCCUUGUUGUGCUGUAGCUGGCUCUGCUGAACUGCUUUAACUUUGGCUUGGUACCCUGGUUUUCCAUAAAUGAUACAGUUUCAGUAGUCUGGCUAAUGUCAAUAUGCUGAUUAGGAAAAUAGAUUCUAUUUUACAACAAUGUUGUUAAAGUGGUGUUAGCAAUGGGAUUUUCCUAGUUCAUCAUGCAGGUUAUAAAUUCCUCUUGAAAAGAAAAUCCAAUACAUUUGAAGUUCCUAAGGACAUUUGCUGUUUACCUAAUUGGAGCGGGUCUUGCAUAUUUGAGACAUGUCAAGAUGUAUUCUUCCCUUUUGAGAAGAGGAAGAAAAUCUUUCUUUUCCAGGCUAGAUUGAGGAGGGAAGGUUGAGAAUUCUACCGUUCCUUGUCCUUGUGGGGUGAGUGUUAGAUAUGUCUGUCACCUGUUUGUGAUUUCAGGCCUGGCUGCACUCGUGCUUCCGCAUGAGCUGACCACCACGUGGAGCUAGGCAAGGUGUAAUGUCUCCAGUGCAUCUCCUUCCAUAAGGCAGAUUGGCUUUGGCUCCUCUGACUGGUAACAGCAGCCCUUACCAGCCAGCCUUCUAACUGGGCAAUUACUCUGCAGUUUAGCCCCUUUCCACAGGUCUCCCAUCCUACAGGGACAGGGCCUGAGGCCAACUAUUGGUUGUGUUUUAACUCUUUCCAGGCUUUGCAAAGGUUGUUGUGGUGUACCAAACUCUGUUAUUUUAAGUCUGUGGUUUAAGGGUCUGUGUUUUCAGGUUUUCUCUAUCCAUUAUUAAAAGAAGGGCAUGAUACCGAUUUUUUCUCUUUUCAGAAUACCGUUACAAUUUGCUUUCAAAUAGAUAUGAUUUCAUGUUUGCUUUGGACAGGAAAAAUGCCAAGGAAGGAGUAGGCACUUUCUAGCCAGAUGUUAACUGAAGUAAAAGCAAAUACUUCAUAUGGCAGUAAGGUUUGGCUCAGUCUCAUUUGUUUUGUUUUAACAAGCACCAGCUUCAGUUGGUGGUUUUUGUUGUUUUCUAUUUUUUUUCUCCACCCUUAUUUUCUUUGCUUCUCUUCAGAUCAUGACAUAAGGUCCUGGGAAUGAAUGUGUGACAACAUGGAUGAAAUAACAUGUCUUCAUUACCAGUGAAUUCAUAUUGUUGUCUUAAUUAUACACUGAAAAAAUUUUUGAAACAAAUUUUUGUACCACUUAUAACUUUGUUCUAGAUAUUGCAGAACAAAUGGUGCUUUUAUCAACUGAAGUAUGCAAGUGGGGAAAGUGACUAUUUGAGCUCCUUUGUCAGCUAUUGAUGUGUUGAUGUUGUCCACUCAUCCAGGUUAAUUAUGAGUGUUAAGUCAGGAAUACUUAAUAAAAUCUGUAUUGCUAAAAUCCUUGUUUCCAGUUUAUGCUUUUUGAUUAUCCUGAUGGUUUUGACUUUGCUUUACCUGCAUCUUUUUAAAGUUGAAGGUUAGCAUCUGCAAGUACCUUUUACUUGGUAAAUUACAACAGUGCAGCCGAGUCUUCCAAGCUGAAACAACAGAAUGCUAAGGAGCAGGAGACUUCCGUCCCCAUUAAUCAAAACCAAAUAUGAUUGCCCUUGUAUAAUGUCCGUUCCUGUUUAAAUGUUGACACAGUAACCAUUUCACAGGAGACUUACAGCUGGUUUGUUUCUGUUUAAAUUACUGAACAGAAAAGAAUUUUAAUUUGAACACAGAAGUGGCUUUUGAAUACUUAUUUAAAGAAUUAUGGAAAUAUAAUAAAACAUUUUAAAAUUACUUAUUUUGUUAAAGCCCUUUAUAUGUUGCACAUUUUGGUUACUGUAGCUGAAGUUUAAGACAGAAAAGCUUUUUUGUGUUAGUGGAAUAUUUUUCUUUUAUUCACUUUCACUAAUUGUGAAUGGGAAGGGCAGAAUAGAACAAGAGAAUUAUUUUUUGACAUGCAGUUGAUUUUUAUCUGAAAAUCCUCAUUUGUUGUACUCAGCUGUCCUUCCAGGUUUAUUAUGAAGGAUUACUUUACCUGACUGGAUUUCAAAUAGACUGUUGUUAAAACACUAUUGUUGAUAUAAAGGACAGUAGUCAAGAGUUCAGCAAGGUUCCAAGUAAGCUGACUUCACUGGAGUGAAUCAAUCUGUUCUUCUCAAGACUGGGUUCAUAAAAUACCAAAAAUUGAGAAUGUUCUCAUACUUUCUAAGAAAAUUAUAAUAAUCUGUAGUUUCCUCAGUGGUUUCUGUGGUGAUGCUGUUGGAGGUUUUUUUGAGUUUUUAAACUGCUGAGUUGAUCAAGUUUCAUUGGAUUUCAACCGAUGAUGGUCGCACAAACUCAACUUGUUUCUCUGUAGCAUGGAGGGCACCAUGAUGAGCUGGGCAUAUGGCU